rnacentral:lncRNA from 1 species
AGUGACAUAACUAUUUUCAAUUGCAAUUUUACAGAGUUUUACAGUGACAUGCCCUUUCUGAAUAUGCAUAUUCUCCAGAAGAACGACCCUUCGAAGUUGCUGAGCUCAACUUGUUCUCAAUGAAAUCAGUGGUAAAUGUUGAGGUACUGCUUAUAGACUACUUUCUAUGCCACACUAAAGUAGAACAAAGCAGAAAGUUCAUCUAUUUUCUACAGGAUUAGCAAC